rnacentral:rRNA from 1 species
AGUGAACGUUGGCGGCGUGCCUAACACAUGCAAGUCGAACGAGAACCGAGUAGCUUGCUACUCGGGGAAAGUGGCGAACGGGUGAGUAACACGUGAGCAAUCUGCCCUCGAGUGAGGAAUAAUCCCGCGAAAGCGGGACUAAUACCGCAUGAUGCUCUGAAGCAUAAGCUUUCAGAGUUAAAGCCCCUAGGGGCGCUUGAGGAUGAGCUUGCGUCCUAUUAGCUAGUUGGUAGGGUAAUGGCCUACCAAGGUUAUGAUGGGUAGCCGGCCUGAGAGGGUGUCCGGCCACACUGGAACUGGGACACGGUCCAGACUCCUACGGGAGGCAGCAGUGAGGAAUUUUGCGCAAUGGGCGAAAGCCUGACGCAGCGACGCCGCGUGGAGGAUGAAGGCUUUCGGGUUGUAAACUCCUGUCAGAGGUGAAGAAAACCCCCUUAGGGGGGCUUGACGGUAACCUCAGAGAAGCCCCGCUAACU